rnacentral:rRNA from 1 species
CCGGUCUGAACUCACAUCACGUAGGACUUUAAUCGUUGAACAAACGAACCUUUGAUAGCGGUUGCACCAUCGGGGUGUCCUGAUCCAACAUCGAGGUCGUAAACCCUAUUGUCGAUAUGGACUCUUGAAUAGGAUUGCGCUGUUAUCCCUAGGGUAACUUGUUCCGUUGAUCAAGUUUUUGGAUCAAUAAGCGAUAGAAUGAUUUGACUUGUGUGUCUUGUCUUUAAAAUCGCUCGGAGGAUUGUUUGUUCUCCGAGGUCACCCCAACCGAAACUGCUAGUUCAUGGAGAAUAUUGUUAUCCCUUGAUGGUUAAGUUUAUGUUCUUUGGACUAGUUAGUUGAAGCUCCAUAGGGUCUUCUCGUCUUAUUUGUUUAUUCCCGCCUCUUCACGGGAAAGUCAAUUUCACUGAUUAGAAGUAAGAGACAGUAAAACCCUCGUGUGGCCAUUCAUACAAGUCCUUAUUUAAAGAACAAAUGAUUAUGCUACCUUUGCACGGUCAGGAUACCGCGGCCGUUUAACGUCUGUCACUGGGCAGGCAGUGCCUCCAAUACUGGUAAUGCUGGAGGGUGAUGGUUUUUUGGUAAACAGGC